rnacentral:lncRNA from 1 species
CUCUCAUUCUCCACUUACGCUAACUCAUGUGACCUCACGUGCAGCCCGCCCCGGGAGGCACGAUCACGAUCACUGCCCGCCUUCCGGCUGUGGCACUGAGGCCCAGGAAGAGGUGGACCGCCUCCGCCCUCGGGGCCGCCUGCCGCGGAGGACAGGCCGGGGAGACGCGGCCCGCAGAGCCGUGCGCUCGGCCGCCACUCAAGACGAACAGGGUCCGCCCGUGGCCGGGAGGGAGGCGCGGGCCCACGGCCCGGCGCCCGGCGCCCGCUCACCCCCGGCCGGUCCGGGGCACCCAGCGUGGGCGCUCGGGAGGCCGGCGCGCAGGCCGGCAGAGGGAGCUGAGCCCACGCGCCCCGCCCGGGCCGCGCCUCGCCCGCAACCCGCGCCGCCGCCCCAGGGACCGAGGCGCGUGCCAGGGCGGGCUGCGCAUGCGCGUGCGCACGGCGGGGCGCGGCGCGGCGUGUGCACGCGAGCCGGGGGCGGGCGGCGGCCGGGGGCGCAUGCGCACCGGGGCGCCGAGGCUGGAGGCGUGCCCGGCUCAGGAGAGCGGUGCUUUCGGUCCAGUCUGCUUCUCGCUGGCGGGCGCCGUAAGCAUCAGCGUCCCCGCAAGUUCCCACUUCGGCUGCGGGAAGCAGGAGUGUGUGCAGGGAACGGAACGCUCGGCUCCGCGGCGUGGAGUAGCAGAUAGAAGGAGCUCGGUCCGCAGGAGCGCGGUGGCGGCGGUGCGGAACUGCCGGCGCCGGCCCCGGAGCCCCCCGUGGUUUCUUAGGCCCGCCGUCGCCGGCUGUGCGGGGUUUUGUUUAACUGUUGGUGAAUAAGACUUCUAGUCCGAUGGUCCGGGUCCCAGCCCUGCCCACCCCUGGCUUUGAGCCAGGCACGUCUUAUUCCUGAGCUCUUUAUUCCCAUUGUUACAGCGGGCAGGGUGCGCCGCUGUUCAACACUGCACUUGUUAAAUCGAAGGAAACAGCCUGGCCGGUGGCUGACUCACGCGCGCGCUUGCAGCGGGUGCCACGGCCUGGGCCUGGCCUGGCUCACCUGCGGGGGGCCCAGUGAGGGACCAGACCUUGCAGUGAAAGGGGUAGCGUUGAAAGUGCGGUAGAGGACAGAGUGGAGGCCAGGCGUGAGUUCUGCGUGGCAGGAGGGGGAGUCCGCGCAGGUUCCACCCAGGAGAUGACCUCUAAACUGGGCCUUGAAGAUGAGGUGGCAGUGGGCCGCUCCUGGCAAAAGGGAUGCCUGAAAGCCUGCACGGGCCAUCGAUGUGUCUGGAGAGUUCUGAGAAUGGCUGCCAGACCAGUGUUGGGCGUGUGGGUAGACAGUAGGUGGGCUUGGAGGGGGACAGGGGGAAAGAGUGUGGAGGGCCCCCAGUGCCCCUGCAAGUGGUGAAAAGCUGCAGAGGGUCCUCAGGCAUGGAACUAACAACAGAUGUGUGUUUCAGUAAAGCGACUCUGGCAGGAACCAGAUAGGAAUUGUAUUUGUACAAAGGGGAUGUUGGAGGAAGGAAGUUAAUUUCAGCCCGGGGAGUGCAGUGGGGAUGGAGAUGGAAGCAGGAUUUAAGCAGGAUUUCAGAGAGAUUUUGGAGAUAGUCAACAGGCGUCACUGGCUACCCAUCACAGCUGAAUCUAAGAUGACUCCUACUUCUGGAGAACCAGGGGGACUGAGUCAUUAAGACAUUUGAGUUUCUGUGAAGUGCAGACCUUGUGCCAGGUGCUCAGCAUCCGAGAUAAAAAAGACCUAGUCUCUGCCCUUAAGGCGUUUGUCGUUGAAUCCAGGAGGUGGAUGCGUAACUAGGUGAUUAUAUCUCUGUACACGUGGUGACGAGCAUCACGUGUCCCUGCCUGAGCCUGAGGUGGGGUUGGGGCAGGGAGGGCUUCCCGAAGGAGGGAGGCCUGAGCGUCAGGGAAACUGGAAUUGCCAGGCAAUAUGAGCAUCUGAGGCACAGAAAGUGUGUGAGCAGGAAGGCCAGGCCGUUUGUGAUGUGUUUGGAGAGUUAGAAGCAGACACUGGAGUGGAGAGGAUCUCAUUGAGCCAGAGAGGAGCUGGCUCUCGGAGUUUAACGGUGUGGAUGCAAACUACUAGGGGUCUCAUGGGAGGAACCCAGGCCCAUGGGGCUUUGCCAGGAGCCUGCCUUCUCUCAACAUCCACACCCUCAUGAGCUCGGUGUGACCAUCCCGUUUUUACUGAUGGUGGGAUUGAGUGAGGCGGAGCGAGGUUAGAGCGACUCGCAGCCCUGGGAAGGCCGAAGCCCCCUGACCGAGUGUGUCGCUUGCUGGUCCUGGCCUUGGAGACUCAGGCGUGCUGGUGCGGAGACGGAGCAUGGGGGCGACUGGGGGAGUCUCGGGUGCUGCUUGGAGCGGGGAGCUGACGGGCAGGGAAGGCUGGGCGGUUGGUUCAGCACGGGCCACCGCGGAGGGACGCUCAGGCCAACGUGGGCCUCUCAGCAGGGUUCCAUGCGGUGGCCUGCUCAGUGCAUCCGGCCCGGAGAGUUGGCUGGAAGCAGCGUGUGAUCUGGUUUGGUAAGUGGAUAAGGCGUGGGCACUGAUAAAGCUCUUAAGUUUAUUAGUGGGCUUUUUUAAAAAAGCUUUCCUGUGCUUUUAAAUAUUGACUCUGUUGCUUCAACCUGUUUUCCUUUGGACACGUAUGUGCCUUUGGCAUAUGAGAGUCCCCUGAGGGUGCCGGUGAAGAUGUGUGCCACGAGCCCACACUGCCUCCACAGUGGUGGCUGCCAAAACGAACAGCUGUGAAAUGACUUGUCGGGAAGGGUGUGACAGCGUGCUGGAAGAGAUUCGGCUCCCGGCCAAAUAACUUUACCACCUGAAGUCCCGGGCGGCUGUGUCGAGGGCCCCGCUGAGGCUGCCUGAGGACCCGAGCGCGUGGCCCACAGAGCCCCGCACGGUGCUCGCUGCGGACAGCGUGCUGCCCGGUCGUUGUGUGUGCGCCUCUGGGUACAUGCACAGUGUUCCCCCUGUAUGUGCAUUUAUGUGCGUAAAAGUAUAGCUACGUGCUGAAGUUUUUAUGAGUAAAAGGAGAAAAAAGGGGCCGGCCUGGUGGCGCAGCAGUGAAGUUCGCAUGUGCCACCUGGGUGCGGACAUGACACCGCUCGGCAAGCCAUGCUCUGGCAGGCGUCCCACAUAUAAAGUAGAGGAAGAUGGGCAUGGAUGUUAGGGCAUCUUCCUCAGCAAAAAGAGGAGGAUUGGCAGCAGAUGUUAGCUCAGGGCUAAUCUUCCUCAAAAAACAAAAAAGGAGAAGAAAAAGGGCAUGAGGGGGUGGGUAGAAAAGAUGGCAGCACGCUGGUGGUAAUUGAAGCUGGAUGAUGGCCACGUGGGAGUUCCGUCUACUCUUCUCUCUGCUUCUGUGUACAUUUGAAAAUUCUAAAAUAAAAAGGUCUAAAGAUAUGUAGAGUAUUUAAACAUUUGUUUAAGCCUUUGAUCCGCUCUCUACCCUCUGCGCCCAGCCUUGCCCAGACGCUGUGCUGGGCGUCUGGACG